UUGUUGCCAGCGAAGAAGAAUAAAAUGCUUUGGGGCGAGGCUCCAGAUAAGUCUUCAAUCUUAUUUGGUUAUAAAGAUUCCUGGGCCGCAAAAGUCUGUCAGACAAGGGACCAUGCAAGAUGCACAAAAUUGCUCAAGCGUCAAAGGGCUAAACAUUG